rnacentral:rRNA from 1 species
AUACCGAGGGUGCGAGCGUUAAUCGGAAUUACUGGGCGUAAAGCGCACGUAGGUGGAUAUAUAAGUCGGAUGUGAAAAGCCUGGGCUCAACCUGGGUCUGUCAUUCGAGACUGUAUAACUAGAGUAUAGUAGAGGGAAGUGGAAUUUCCGGUGUAGCGGUGAAAUGCGUAGAUAUCGGAAGGAACACCAGUGGCGAAGGCGGCUUCCUGGACUAAUACUGACACUGAGGAGCGAAAGCGUGGGGAGCAAACAGGAUUAGAUACCCGUGUAGUCC